GGGACCAGCUACCUGAGACUGGUGGACAUUCAAAGUGGACUGAUACUGGCAGCUUCUUCUCCUAAAUGAAAUCCCUGCCUGAGAAGCAGAAGGAGUUGGAGAGUCACGCCACUGAGGAGUUUGUGAGUGUAACUUGGAGAGAUCUAUGGCCCUGUCAGUUACAUGGGAGAUGCCAGCCAAUUAGACUCGUUGGGGGAAUAUUCUUGGGAUCUCUCUGGAAGAAAGUGGAAAAUUCAUAGCUCUUGGAGUCUGUGGGUGAAACAUUGGGGCCUGUGAGAAAAAGGCUUGAAGGUCAGAGGAGAAGCCUUGGAACCUGUGGCAGAAGCCUUGUGUCUUCUGGGAAAGCUGUGGGAAUUGUAUGACGACGACGAUGACGAUGACAACAACAACAACAACAACAACAACAACAACAACAACAAAAGACCUGUAG